rnacentral:rRNA from 1 species
CAGCAGCCGCGGUAAUACGAAGGGGGCUAGCGUUGCUCGGAAUCACUGGGCGUAAAGGGUGCGUAGGCGGGUUUUUAAGUCAGAGGUGAAAUCCUGGAGCUCAACUCCAGAACUGCCUUUGAUACUGAAAGUCUUGAGUUCGGGAGAGGUGAGUGGAACUGCGAGUGUAGAGGUGAAAUUCGUAGAUAUUCGCAAGAACACCAGUGGCGAAGGCGGCCAUCUGGGACAACACUGACGCUGAGGCACGAAAGCGUGGGGAGCAAACAGGAUUAGAUACCCCUGUAGUCCCUGUCUCUUAUAC